AAUGGGGGAAACCCUGACGCAGCAACGCCGCGUGAGUGAUGAAGGCUUUCGGGUCGUAAAGCUCUGUCUAGAGGGAAGAAGUGAAUGGUGGUUAAUACCCAUUAUUCUUGACGGUACCUCUGAAGGAAGCACCGGCUAACUCCGUGCCAGCAGCCGCGGUAAUACGGAGGGUGCAAGCGUUGUUCGGAUUUAUUGGGCGUAAAGCGCGUGUAGGCGGUUUGUUAAGUCUGAUGUGAAAGCCCCGGGCUCAACCUGGGAAGUGCAUUGGAAACUGGCAGACUUGAAUACGGGAGAGGGUAGUGGAAUUCCUAGUGUAGGAGUGAAAUCCGUAGAUAUUAGGAGGAACACCGGUGGCGAAGGCGGCUACCUGGACCGAUAUUGACGCUGAGACGCGAAAGCGUGGGGAGCAAA
rnacentral:rRNA from 1 species